AUUUCACAUUGGAUUAGACUGCCCAGGAGGGCAACGCUGGGCUGGGGCAGCCGGGCAACUCUGCCAGGGCCUCGCUGCCCACUGAGCUGCCUUCCACAGCUCGCUAGACCCCCAUGAUUGUGGCUGUGAAUUGUGCCAGCCACCCUGAUAAACACACCACUGCCUCCACCCCAUGACACACGGAAUUUGGGGGGAGGGAAGGAAGAACUCAGGAUCCGCCUAAUGGGAAUGGAGCCGGCAAUUUCCUGCUGCCUUGCUUUCUCCGCCAGCCCCUGGCCCACAGUCCAGCCUCAGAAGGCUGAGGGGGGUGCUUCGGUUUCGUUUCUUUUUUCUCAACGGGUCGACAUUUUAAAUUUCUCAGUAUCCAAGGCAUUAUGAGGACUUAGGAAACAGAUGCAUUUAAUCUAAUUAAAGCAAGGACGGCGAGUGAGUGAAAAAUUACAUUUUCACUUGGGUUCUGAACAUUCAGUUGCACAUCCAAGAAUAAUGAUGUUUUUAAAGCCAGCCCAAUAAACUUGAGAUUGCAAGUUU
ensembl:lncRNA LINC02939 long intergenic non-protein coding RNA 2939